rnacentral:rRNA from 1 species
AGAGUUUGAUCCUGGCUCAGAACGAACGCUGGCGGCAGGCCUAACACAUGCAAGUCGAGCGCCCCGCAAGGGGAGCGGCGGACGGGUGAGUAACACGUGGGAAUAUGCCCUUCGGUGCGGAACAACUCAGGGAAACUUGAGCUAAUACCGCAUGAUCCGGUAACGGCAAAGAUUUAUCGCCGAAGGAUUAGCCCGCGUCC